UACGAAGGGGGCUAGCGUUGCUCGGAAUCACUGGGCGUAAAGCGCACGUAGGCGGAUUGCUAAGUCAGGGGUGAAAUCCUGGAGCUCAACUCCAGAACUGCCUUUGAUACUGGCGACCUUGAGUCCGGGAGAGGUGAGUGGAACUGCGAGUGUAGAGGUGAAAUCGUAGAUAUUCGCAAGAACACCAGUGGCGAAGGCGGCUCACUGGCCCGGUACUGACGCUGAGGUGCGAAAGCGUGGGGAG
rnacentral:rRNA from 1 species